rnacentral:rRNA from 1 species
UACGUAGGGAGCAAGCGUUGUCCGGAAUCAUUGGGCGUAAAGCGCGCGUAGGUGGCCUCAUAAGUCCGUUGUGAAAGUCAAAGGCUCAACCUUUGAAAGCCGAUGGAUACUGUGAGACUAGAGUACGGAAGAGGCGAGUGGAAUUCCUGGUGUAGCGGUGGAAUGCGCAGAUAUCAGGAGGAACACCAAUGGCGAAGGCAGCACUCUGGGACGGUACUGACGCUGAGACGCGAAAGCGUGGGGAGCAAACAGG